AUUGAACGCUGGCGGAAUGCUUUACACAUGCAAGUCGAACGGCAGCACGGGGGCAACCCUGGUGGCGAGUGGCGAACGGGUGAGUAAUACAUCGGAACGUGCCCAGUCGUGGGGGAUAACGUAGCGAAAGUUACGCUAAUACCGCAUACGAUCUACGGAUGAAAGAGGGGGACCGUAAGGCCUCGCGCGAUUGGAGCGGCCGAUGUCAGAUUAGGUAGUUGGUGAGGUAAAGGCUCACCAAGCCGACGACCUGUAGCUGGUCUGAGAGGACGACCAGCCACACUGGGAACGAGACCCGGCCCAGACUCCUACGGGAGGCAACAGUGGGGAAUUUUGGACAAUGGGCGCAAGCCUGAUCCAGCCAUUCCCCGUGGAGGACGAAGGCCUUCGGGUUGUAAACUGCUUUUUUACGGAACGAAAAGGCUCUGGUUAAUACCUGGGGCUCAUGACGGUACCGUAAGAAUAAGCACCGGCUAACUACGUGCCAGCCGCCGCCGUAA
rnacentral:rRNA from 1 species